AGGGGUGGGGGCCAGGGGGGAGGACAUUAAUGUCCUCCCCCCUGGCCCCCACCCCUU
rnacentral:miRNA from 1 species